rnacentral:tRNA from 1 species
GCGGCUAUGGUUCAGUGGUAGAACAGCUCGUUGCCAACGAGCAGAUACGGGUUCGAUUCCCGUUAGCCGCUCCA